GUUACUUCAAAUGACGUCGGGAACCAUUUCCGGAUUUCGAGACGUUGUCGUCUACCGUAAUACUCACCAGGAAAACGAACCGAUGAUCGUGCACCAGACUCGAACGAGCCAAAGUUUCGCGCGCUUCCUCGCGCAGACCGAUCAUCUUCGGGCAAAUCGGAUCGAACAUGUAUCCGGCGUCGCCAAGCUCUGACGCGCCCUCGUCUUCGCAGAGGAUCAAAUUCAAUUUGGACAUCUCUUCGUGAAACUCUUCCUUGCUAGUGAACUUGUUGGAAUUUAUCCAUCCGGAAGCGAGCGCGGCAGCCUCGGCUUGUUCACCCCAAGCUACGCCUUCGAUGACCCGCAAACGCGUUGGCAACAGCUCGUCUUCGCGUCACGUUUCCAACACCACGGGUACACAUUAUCUUGUCACGACCGGACGUGGAUUAAUACGAAUCAUCCCGAUUACAACAAGAGACAAUAGAAGUGAUUCGUAUCAAAGGAAACGAAACGAAAUCUCGUAAGCGGAAGCUGGAAGUAGCGUUUCAUUGCUAUCCGAAGUUAUGACACCGUGUCGACAAAAAGAUAAAACGGAUCCCGGCUACCAACGACGGCGACUAUAUAUGUAUACUCGAAAGUUCAGACGAUCACCGAUUUCGAGACUUCGAGACUCUACGGUACACGCGUGCACAGCCGAAGCAAAAGAGAUUCGAAUUACCUGUUGGUCGUGGUCUCCUUGUCGCAUGCUCUUUGCAACUCGACCAAUCCGUAGUAAACGCGCUGCCGCCAAUCUUCGUUGCUCGGCAAAAUCAAUUCCUCCGCUUCCUCGUUCAAUUUUUCAUCGCGAAGUUGCCCGCGGAUCGACGUCCACCUUUUAAAAGCAAGUUGCAAAAUCUUGACGUAGUCGCCAAGUUUGCCGCUACCGACUCGAUCGGAAACUUCGUCGUCUAGUUGGGUUUUCGACAUUUCUCGCGAUUCGCGGUCUCUCGAUUCUCCGCCACAAUUUUGUCGAUUCUUUCGUAAUCUCGGAACAAUUAAAUCGCGAUACUGUAAAUCGGUUUAUCUGUUAUCCGGGUCGAGCAAAAUUACUAUACCCGUGUCGAGGGUAUAUGUACAUACACGCUACGGCACCGUUGCGCUCGUCCGAACACCGGAGACUGCGAGCUUGCUACACUUGCUACACUUGCUACACCUUCUUCCCUUUCCGAGCCGACCGAAAGUAGGGUUCUACUUCCAAUCUUACGGUCGUCGCAACGUCGCGUGCUCCGGUAACAUCUUCGACGAAAUCACGAUCAACCGUCUGUUCGUGGUCAGCCUAGAUCCAUCCAACGAGCACGGUACCUCGGUCUCCCGAAGUCGCUGCAUUAUCUUAUGGUUACGUGUCCCGUUCGUGCUAUACGUCAUUUAUUCGUACCAUUGCAUUCUGUAAUAUGCAUAUCGUCGACGGAACGGAUGCGGCAAAACGUAUCGCCAACGGCAGGCAAAGUUUAACGCUUGUUCUACCAUGAAUCGCUCUUAUCGAACAAGAUUAUAGUGCCGGAUUACUAUCUUUAUAGAAAACUAAAAAGAAUCGACGACCAACAAAAUAACUUGAUGAGUUAUUGCCCUCGGAUUCUUUGGGAUUAUUGACUGCUGAUUUCUAAGCAAAAAUAUUUGGCAAAUCAAGCCGUACAUGAACAUUAGUGCUGUUGUGGAGAACAUUGCUAUGCGUCGCAUACAAUCAUGCAAUAAUCUAUAUCUUUAUUUUACACGAUUUUGUUGCGCCUAGUAUUUUACUGCGCUUCACUUACAAUAUGACAGUGAAAGAAUGUUUUGGAAAGAGAAUAACGUUAAACGAUAUAUUUCUUUGUUGCGUCAAAUGUUCAGUAUAAGAAUACAAAUUUCAAAUGUCAACGUCAUGUUUAUCGGUAUCUCGGAUAUACUCUUUGGUUAGUAUAUUAAUAAACGUUUGUAACUGCAA